rnacentral:rRNA from 1 species
UACGGAGGGAGCUAGCGUUGUUCGGAAUUACUGGGCGUAAAGCGCGUGUAGGCGGCUUUGCAAGUCGGGUGUGAAAGCCCUCAGCUCAACUGAGGAAGUGCGCCCGAAACUGCAGAGCUUGAGUGCCGGAGAGGGUGGCGGAAUUCCCCAAGUAGAGGUGAAAUUCGUAGAUAUGGGGAGGAACACCGGUGGCGAAGGCGGCCACCUGGACGGUUACUGACGCUGAGACGCGAAAGCGUGGGGAGCAAACAGG